rnacentral:tRNA from 1 species
GCCUGGUUGGUUCAGUCAGUAGAGCAUGCAACUCUUGACCUCAAGGUUGUGAGUUCAAGCCCCACACUGGGCA